CACCGAAGCUGUGGAUUGACAUCUUUGAUGUCAGUGGUAGGAGAGCGUUCUAACAGCGUUGAAGUCAGACCGGAAGGACUGGUGGAGCGGUUAGAAGUGAGAAUGCCGGUAUGAGUAGCGAAAGACGGGUGAGAAUCCCGUCCACCGUAUGACUAAGGUUUCCUGAGGAAGGCUCGUCCGCUCAGGGUUAGUCGGGACCUAAGCCGAGGCCGACAGGCGUAGGCGAUGGACAACAGGUUGAUAUUCCUGUACUACCUCCCCACCGUUUGAGAAAUGGGGGGACGCAGUAGGGUAGGGUAAGCAGAGCGUUGGUUGUCUCUGUUCAAGCAGUAAGGCGUGUGUGUAGGCAAAUCCGCACACUGUAACGUUGAGCUGUGAUGACGAGUCCGUAUGGACGAAGUUCCUGAUCUCACACUGCCAAGAAAAGCCUCUAUCGAGGUGGGAGGUACCCGUACCGCAAACCGACACAGGUAGUCGAGGAGAGAAUCCUAAGGUGUGCGAGAGAACUCUCGUUAAGGAACUCGGCAAAAUGACCCCGUAACUUCGGGAGAAGGGGUGCUCUGGUAGGGUGAAAGCCCGAGAGAGCCGCAGUGAAUAGGCCCAGGCGACUGUUUAGCAAAAACACAGGUCUCUGCAAAACCGUAAGGUGACGUAUAGGGGCUGACGCCUGCCCGGUGCUGGAAGGUUAAGAGGAGCGGUUAGCGCAAGCGAAGCUGUGAAUUGAAGCCCCAGUAAACGGCGGCCGUAACUAUAACGGUCCUAAGGUAGCGAAAUUCCUUGUCGGGUAAGUUCCGACCCGCACGAAAGGCGUAACGAUCUGGGCACUGUCUCAACGAGAGACUCGGUGAAAUUAUAGUACCUGUGAAGAUGCAGGUUACCCGCGACAGGACGGAAAGACCCCGUGGAGCUUUACUGUAGUUUGAUAUUGAAUUUUGGUACAACUUGUACAGGAUAGGUAGGAGCCAGAGAGCCCGGAGCGCCAGCUUCGGAGGAGGCGUCGGUGGGAUACUACCCUGGUUGUAUUGAAAUUCUAACCCAUGCCCCUUAUCGGGGCAGGAGACAGUGUCAGACGGACAGUUUGACUGGGGCGGUCGCCUCCUAAAAGGUAACGGAGGCGCCCAAAGGUUCCCUCAGAAUGGUUGGAAAUCAUUCGUAGAGUGUAAAGGCACAAGGGAGCUUGACUGCGAGACCUACAAGUCGAGCAGGGUCGAAAGACGGGCUUAGUGAUCCGGUGGUUCCGCAUGGAAGGGCCAUCGCUCAACGGAUAAAAGCUACCCCGGGGAUAACAGGCUUAUCUCCCCCAAGAGUCCACAUCGACGGGGAGGUUUGGCACCUCGAUGUCGGCUCAUCGCAUCCUGGGGCUGUAGUCGGUCCCAAGGGUUGGGCUGUUCGCCCAUUAAAGCGGUACGCGAGCUGGGUUCAGAACGUCGUGAGACAGUUCGGUCCCUAUCCGUCGUGGGCGUAGGAAAUUUGAGAGGAGCUGUCCUUAGUACGAGAGGACCGGGAUGGACAUACCGCUGGUGUACCAGUUGUUCUGCCAAGGGCAUCGCUGGGUAGCUAUGUAUGGACGGGAUAAGUGCUGAAAGCAUCUAAGCAUGAAGCCCCCCUCAAGAUGAGAUUUC
rnacentral:rRNA from 1 species